UACGUAGGGAGCAAGCGUUGUCCGGAAUCAUUGGGCGUAAAGCGCGCGUAGGCGGCCCCGUAAGUCCGCUGUGAAAGUCAAAGGCUCAACCUUUGAACGCCGAUGGAUACUGCCGGGCUAGAGUCCGGAAGAGGCGAGUGGAAUUCCUGGUGUAGCGGUGGAAUGCGCAGAUAUCAGGAGGAACACCAAUAGCGAAGGCAGCUCGCUGGGACGGUACUGACGCUGAGGCGCGAAAGCGUGGGGAGCGAACAGG
rnacentral:rRNA from 1 species